rnacentral:sRNA from 1 species
UUUGCCGCAAGCAGGCCGGUGUUGCCAUCGGAAGACUGUGUGAAAAAUGUGAGUGGAACACACCGUCCCAACAACCCACCCUUCCCACUCCCAGUUUCUGUGGAACCAGCAAAAGUGCCACAAAGAGGGCUUUGAGUAGAUAUACCUGGAAGUGAUGGCAAGUGUGUGAUUUGUGACUCCUAUGUGCGUCCCUGCACUCUGGUGCGUAUAUGUGAUGAGUGUAACUAUGGAUCUUACCAGGGGCGCUGUGUGAUCUGUGGAGGACCUGGGGUCUCUGAUGCCUAUUAUUGUAAGGAGUGCACCAUCCAGGAGAAGGACAGAGAUGGCUGCCCAAAGAUUGUCAAUCUGGGGAGCUCUAAGACAGACCUCUUCUAUGAACGCAAAAAAUAUGGCUUCAAGAAGAGGUGAUUGGUGGGUGGCCCCUUCCUCCCCCCAACAUCAGUCUGCUGCAGCUGCCAGAAAACAUGCCUACUACUACCAGCAGAAAGGGAGCAGAGCCCAGA